rnacentral:rRNA from 1 species
GAUGAACGCUGGCGGCGUGCCUAAUACAUGCAAGUCGAACGACACUUCUGUAUCACCUAGUGCUUGCACUCACCGAUAGAGGGUUGAGUGGCGAACGCGUCAGAAACUCGUUUGCCACCUGCCCUAACGUGGGGGAUCAUACUCUGAUACAGGUUCUAAUCUACCAUUAACAUCAUUAGCGCUUGGUACCUUUGUCGAAGGUAUGUGCACUUCCGCUUUUAGCUGGUCGCGUGGCGGAUUAGCUAGUUGGUAGGGUAAAGGCUUACCAAGGCAAUGAUGCGUAGCCGAAUUGAGAGGUUGAUCGGCCACACUGGAACUGAGACACGGCCCAAACUCCUACGGGAGGCAGCAGUAGGGAAUCUUCGACAAUGGGCGAAAGCCUGAUGGAGCAACGCCGCGUGGGUGAAGAAGGUCUUCGGAUCGUAAAGCCCUGUUGUUGGGGAAGAAAGGGCGUGGGAUUAACUGUUCACGUUUUGACGGUAUCUAACCAGAAAGCCACGGCUAACUUCGUG